GGUCACUGGUGCACAUAUCCAGCAGUAACAGUGCGUGGGGUGGGGUACACCCUGGACAGGUUCCAAGUCCAUCACAGGUUUGGUUGUGCAUCCUGACAGACGUGGCGCACAGACAGAGCUUUAACAGGAAGGAAGGUUGAUAAAAAAGCUGUCCCAGGGUUUGACAGGGUUGUGAUCUUCCCCUCUGAUUCUCCAUGGCCUCCCCUCCCCUCGUCGCUCCUACCUCAGACAGCGGAGGAACAAAGUGUGUAUUUGAGGAGGUGGGGUGUGUAUGCGGGUCAUGUUUGGAUUCCCCCUGGGUUUGUGAGCAGAGAGAGAGAGCAAGGUCCCAAAAGAGCAGCAGGAGAGGAGCUGGCUUCACUUUGAUAACAAUAAUAAGUGUUUAGCAGCUCGUAGCUCCGGGAACAUUCUGUAAAGAUGACCAGCAUUUCACCUCUGAUCAUAUUAAUGAGAACAAAACCCAACAUCUGAGUGUUUCCCUGCAGCUCCUUCAGGUCCAGAGGAUGAAAACGGAGGUCCAKGAGCUAAAACCGGGAAAGUGGUGGAGAGUAGGCAGGCAGGUAAGUUUGUGUUCAUGAAGAGGAAUCGUGCUGAAAGAGACAGGAACUCAGAAAAAGCACAUUUGGUCCAGAGUUUGUUUCCCCCCUUGGUCCAGACCUUUUAUGCUGCACUCAUGUGAACCCUGGUGGAUCUAACCGGACCUAGACCCACUUUUUGUCCGCUUCCAAACAAACUCUGGUGCUGUUUGCUUCUAGUAUGAAUACAGACCUGUUCGAUCUGAAACAACUACAGGAAACAUGCACUUUUUGGACUUCAUGAGUCACUGUUAGCAUCAUGGUAAAAAGGAGCCCUUCAGGGUUGCUAAUGCUAGCUCUAUCCUACAAACAAUGAGCUGUGGACCAACCUGAAGCAACAAGGAGACACUGKUCCUCCUCCAUAUUUGGACAGACAGAUAACUCAAGAAUACAGUCAUGUUCUCUGUGUUUAGUGAGAAAAGGAAGGAUCGACGGUUUGAUCGGUCUCUGUUAAAAAUGUCCACAAACUUAUCGCUUCUUCCUCGUCGGCCAUGUUUCUUUACCCUGAACUCAGGUUUGAUCUCGAGAGGUCUCGUGCGAUUUCCCGCCUGACGUCUGACUGUUGUUGAGUGGAACCUGUGUGUGUCUGUUUGUACACCAAACCUGUUACAUGUGGAGAAACUGAAGAGGCUCAGACUAAAGCUAGGCUUUUAUUUUAGAAAUAAGUUGUGCUUUUCUUUUAAUGUGAAAAAGCAACUAGUGACGGCUACUCUUUUUUUUUAAUCGCUGUUGGUUUAUGGAUAUAUUUAGUAUAUGAACACAUCUGCUAAAUGUCUUCAAAUGAUUGUUUAUCAUGCCUCUUUGAGGUUCAUUASAAACUGUAAGGCAUUGACACAUCACUAUGAGUUGUACUCAAGGGUASAAUGGCCUGCUCUGGCCACCAGAAGGCUCUGCCAUUGGUACACAUUCAUAUAUUAUUAACUUUAUUCUUGAAAAAGAGGUUUUUAAUCUCACUGGGACUUCCUGGUUAAAUAA